rnacentral:tRNA from 1 species
CGGCGUGUAGCGCAGCUUGGUAGCGCAUCAGCAUGGGGUGUUGAGGGUCGGAGGUUCAAAUCCUCUCACGCCGACCA